rnacentral:lncRNA from 1 species
CAAAUACAAAAUCAUACAUGGCACCAAUCUUUAAGAUUACAAAGUCAUACAAGCUUAUUCUCGAGUUGCUAUUAAAACACUUAAAUAAAUAAUGAUUCUAGAUGGUAAGACACGGUGGACGUGCGGCCUGGAUAUAGAUGUUUCGAUCACAAGCUUGAAGCGUUGUUUCUAAAGGUCAAUAGCUCAAUCCAGAGAAAGUGAACAUGGUAGGACUCGUUUAGUGAGCAAUGAGAACUCCAUCACCGAGAUGUAUGUCUUCAAGGCUCUUGAGAUCCAAUUUUGGUCCCAUGCACCAGAGUAAUAGAAGGAGCGUACCAAUGUACUCAGCUAGCAACAAACUUAUGAACCAAACAUGACUCCAAGUGUUAAUAAAAGCCGCCCACAACCUCAUGCAAACCCGAGGGUAAACAAGAAGGGUUAAGGCUAGAAUUAACAAAAGGGGAUACCUAUUCCUGUGCAUUACAACCUACAACAUUAUUCAUACAAGUAUUAAAGUAGAAAGACAAAAAUAAAACCCAAUUACAUCAUAUACAAAUUCAUGGUUUUAACUUUACAAAUAUAAACAUAUACACAUAUAUACAAUGCAAAUUUCGACAAUUCUAAAAGAUCGAGGAUCCCGAAGGAUCCCCGGCAACGGCGCCAUUUGAUAUGACGUAUUUGCACACGCAUCAAUUAACCCUGUCAACAAAUCAAUCGUAGUAUAAAGCAAGCAGGGAUCGUUCUAAACCGGGGAUCCAACUACAGGGUAGAUCCAUCUAAUCUAAUAAAAAUGUCGAAAUAAGCAUAUAGGGUUUAAAGGUUUUGAUGAUUUUGGAAUAAACAUUGAAAAUAAAUCCUAAAUUACUUCUAUACAUAUUUACAUGUGAUCAACCAACAAUCAUGCAAACUUAACCAAACAACCAUGUAAGAACAAAGAAGACGAUCUCUAAUCUCAUUUAAGUCUACACCGUGAGCAAUUAUACAACCUAAAUUUGAUAUGCACAUAAGUUCCUACGUGGUUCCUAUGACAUAGACCUACUUAGAAUUAGACUACGGGUUUCAUUCAACAUCAUGACACAAACAAGCUCGGCUACGUGUUCUACUUAUAGGUUCNNNNNNNNNNNNNNNNNNNNNNNNNNNNNNNNNNNNNNNNNNNNNNNNNNNNNNNNNNNNNNNNNNNNNNNNNNNNNNNNNNNNNNNNNNNNNNNNNNNNNNNNNNNNNNNNNNNNNNNNNNNNNNNNNNNNNNNNNNNNNNNNNNCAAAACCAUCUUGAACUUGGAAAAUCUUCUCUCUUGGGCCGCACGGUUUCUCUCUCCUUGGUGACUUAGGAAAUCUUCACGGCAUCUCCAUACAUAUCUCGGAUUGUACUUCUCCUAGCUCAAGCAGGAAUUCCUAGCUGCCGGCCACCUUUCCCUCAUGAGUCAGGAAAACAUUUUCCUAGUCAACACGGGUUUAGACUUUCCUGAAAUAGAAAUAAGAAAAUUAGAAACUAGGAAAGAGGAAAGAUGGAAUCCUGAUCAAGAAAGGAAUCCUGAGUAAACAAGGAUUUCCAACACUUAGCACAAUUUCAACACCCAAUUCUUCAAUUCCGAAAUUACUAUGAAUUCUAACACCAAAACCUACAUAUUUCUACAUUAAGCAAUUAUUCUACACUAAACACAAAUAUAAAGCUAAAACAACUAAAUAGGAGUUAACAAAGGGUAAAUAAAGGGUAUAAACAUAUUAAGAACGUCACACUUUGUGCUCCUAUCACCCAUCCUCUAUGUGAUCUUGCUUUCAGCAAAGGAGCUCCGGUGAAGGAGAAUCGAGCAGAAGGAAAGACUGGGUUCGCCGGUGAGUUUCCGAUUCCGGCCAAGUUGUGGUCUCUCACCGGUGUGGAUAGCUUCAUCUCCUCAUCCCUGACGUCCCUGUAACUUCAGCUUGUCGAGACGAGGUCAGGUGAGGGAGAAUCGAAGAGAAGAAUUUUUGGGAUUUUCCGACAAGGGUUUGAUGUUUUCUGGCCACGGGCGAAGGCAAGCGAGGUAUGAAACUUAAUCUUCUCGUCGAGCUCUACCUGUUUAUAUAAUUGGAAUUGAGAUUGGUUAGGUUUGGGAGAAAUUGGAUUUUAGGCAGUGGAGGACCGCCGUGCGUGCCACUGUGCUUGGCGGCGGUGAAGGUGUUGGAUUACUUUAUGGUUGUGUAUUUAUGCUUCUGGUUGAAUUGAUGAGUUCUCUGUGUACUUGGUAUUCAAUUUUGAUUUAGGAUUGAAGGUUUGGAAUUUUGGAGUCUUGAAGGUACUAUGUUUGGUGUUGCAGCAACAAUGAUUGUUAUUGUGGUUGUUGUUAGUAUACUGAACGUGUAUAUUAUGAAUUGGAGUCUUUGAAUUACAGAGAAGAUUGGAUUUAGGAAGGAAGAAAGAUGAAGAGUCAGGUGAUAUGGAGUUGAGCUGUGUGUUAUUGGGAGUUGAAAUUGUGUUGUUAAAGGAUACAAUUAUGGGAGAAAUACAAUACAAGAAGUUUUGGGUGUCCUUAGUAGAUUUCUGAAUUCGGUGUUUAAAGUGAUUCGUUGUCAUUCUUGGAAUAAAAGUUUGAUACGAGGAUUGGAGGCACGUUGCAAUUCCAGAAGUAGAAGGAUAAAGAUUUCAAAAAACGUGUCGCGGUGUUACUAAUUUCGUUUAGCGUCAAGAACUAACAUUUGGAUUCCAGGUAGGGUCUCUCUCGGGAAACCUUUCUUAAAUUGAUAAUUAGAUUAUAAUUGAAAUGGUGCUUUGUGUGGCAUUGAUUGGUUAAUUGUUGAUUGUUAUCGCUUUCGAUAAAGUAUGUGUAAUCUGUGAUUUAUAUGAUCGAUGUUAUUGUUUUUGUUAAAAGUAUGUGUAAUUGUUGAUUUAUGUGAUCGAUGUUACUGCUUUCUAUAAAAAGAAUGUUGUUUAAUAUUAUAUUACAUGCAUCGAUAUUUGAUUGCAUACAUAAUGCAUUGUGAGGAAUUGUGAGAGGUGAGAAUGGUGAUUCUGGAGAGGAGAAUAAGAUUAUUAGAACAAAUACAUUUUGUGUAGUUGAGUUUCCUCAUGGGGACUUCCAGUAACUAUGAUCAGCCCACCUGCGCAAAUGAGUGGGGAAAGUAUGCCCCUUCGACGUAUGAGUCGAUAAAACGAUCUUUCGAGUUUCGAGACUAGGGACCAUGAGGUUAACAAAAGAAUAACAAAAUAGAUACUGGAGUUUAUAUAUUACUGAUUUGUUAGGUCGUAUAAUCGAGACAUCUAUACGGUAUGGGACGUGUAGGUACAUAUGUCUUAGGUGUAUGGACUAAUUAAUUAGCCAGUAAUAGAGUGGAGGGAGUGCAUUAGCAUUUAUGCAUCGAAUUCUUGUUAUAUAUGGCAUUGCUUGAUAACUUGAUUUUGUCAUAUAGUUAAGAAUAACCUAAAGAGGUUUGGCCCUACUGAGCGUAAACUCAUCCUUAUAGAUUUUUGUUCAGGUUUGUACGAGGACAAUUAUUACUAGAAGACUAACUGUGACGUUAGCUUACGUGUACAAGAGUCGAGAAGUACGGAAGAUUAGAAGUGAGAUAGAGUACGCAAGGCUUUAUUUGUUUUGUAAUCGGUUUUGUUAUUGUAAUUGUUUUAUUUUUAACAAUUUCUGGAGAAGUAUCUGAAAUUGUUUUAUUUUCUUUUACUUUUCCCGCUCACGCCUCGGGUUUGGCGUCAGGUGCUUGGAAACCACCGACACCGGGUCCGGGGUGUGACAGUCAUGACGGCCCAAGGCGGGUCAUGGCGGCCCAAAGCAGGUCAAGGCGGGUCAUGGCGUGCCAAAGAGGGUCAAGGCGGGUCAUGGUGUGCUAAAGAGAACACAAGCUUGGAAAGUCUCAAUACUAAUUAAAACAACAACUUCAACAACUUUAUAAAACACGACACGCGUGAGUUAUUUAGGCCUGAUCACGAGUAAAUUGAUAAAAGACACGGAUUUUUGAAACUAGAAUGGUUCACUAUAUGUUAGGAGAUGUCUGUAAGCACACCUGAACGGAAAAAGCCGAAGGUAAAAAAAAAGUGAAACUGGCCAGAAACUUGUGUGCUAUAGCAAGGGGUUUUGGCUCGCAUUGGGUGAAACUUGAAAUGAGGGACAAUACCACCUUUUCUUUUGAAACUAAUGUUCCCGGUGUGAAUAUGAGAAGAAUUGAAGAGAACAGAAUCUUGGAAAGUCACUCAAUGCCAAUUAAAACAACAAUCUCAACAGCUUUACAAAACACUACACACGUGAGUUAUUUAGGCCCGAUCGCGAGUAAAUUGAUAAAUAACAAGAAUUUUUGAAGCUAGAAUUGUUUAAUAUAUGUUAGGAGGUGUUUUUAAGCACACCCGAACGGAAAAAGCCGGUGGCCAAAAAAAAGUGAAACUGGCCAGAAACUCAUGUGCUAUAACAAAGGGUUUUGGCUCGAAUUGGGUGAAACUUGAAAUAAGGGGCAAUACAUUAUUUUCUUCUAAAACUAAGGUUCCCGGUGUUAAUAUGAGAAGAAUUAAAGAGAACACAAGCUUGGAAAGUCUCUCAAUACCAAUUAAAACAACAAUUUCAACGGCUUUACAAAACACGACACGCGUGGGUUAUUUAAACCAGAUCGCGAGAAAAUUGAUAAAUAUUUUGAAGCUAGAAUGGUUCAAUAUAUGUUAGGUGGUGUCUAUAAACACACCCAAAUGAAAAAAGCCAGAGGACAAAAAAAAACUGGCCAAUAACUCAUGUGCUAGCAAAUGGUUUUAGCUCGAAUUGGGUGAAACUUGAAAUGAGGGACAAUACCUCAUUUUCUUUUGAAACUAAGGUUCUUGGUGUCAAUAUGAGAAGAAUUGAAGACAACAAAUCUUGGAAAGUCUCUCAAUACCAAUUUCAACAGCUUUACAAAACACGACACCCGUGAGUUAUUUAGACUCGAUCGCGAGUAAUUUAUAAAAGACACUUUUUGAAGCUAAAAUGGAUGUAGUAGUUCUCUAGUUACCAAUGUAUAUAUCACUAAUGAUUUUAAACGGUUAAUGGUUGUUAGGUACAAUGUAAUCAUUGAACAUCCUCUCAUUGUAGAUGUAAAGAGACUCGCCAUGGGAGGUGUCACGAGCCUUUAGUACGUAGCUGAAUUUUUCUCAACUCUUUUGUUCUUGCAACAAUAUGCGAGGCUCCGUGAUGGCGUCUAGGUUUCUUCUGAACUUCGACCAGCCAAAUCUAUCUCCCCAUACAACGCCUUGGUUCUGGUAGGCGAGGACCUUAUCAAGCUAGGUUUGCGCUUUCGUGUACACACAUCAACUUUGGUACCUUCUUCUACUAGAUUGCAAUCUUUUCACACAAGUGUCUACGUCCUUUCUCACAAGUGUUUGUGGAACACAUAGUUUGUGGAACUAGAUAUUCCUUUUUCAUUGAUAAACAAACUACUAUUACAUGGGAACUCGUAUUUGGCUUGCCAAGUCUCAUUAGGCAAAGUCCGAAUCCAAGCCUUUCUACUAUGGGCUACGCCCUAUAUAUAAGCCUACUUUUCUAUGGAAGUUACAACCCGACUUCCCUUAGGUGUUAUGGCGUUCAUGCCUUAUUUUUAGGAGUAGUGGACAUCCCCCACUAUUAUAGGAUUAUUAACUACCUUAUAGAUAACCACCAAGAUAUGCAUAACUUCCUUGCCAACUUCCCCACUUUUGGUGCUAGGUAACCGCCUACUAACUUGCAUACUGUGUGGAGAUAACUUCUCACUAACUUGCUUUGUCAACCGCUUGUAACCGCCAUGCACACGUAUGCACCCUAGAGUGCAUCCGCGCGCACCCUGCCGAGCACCCUGCAGCGCACCUUCGUAGCACCCUGCCGAGCACACUUGACAUGCACCCGGCACUGCACCUUUUCAUGCAUCCUGCCGCACCCAACAUUUCACCCUACCGGGCACACUUAUCAUGCACCCGACGCUGCACCCUGCCGAGCCUUUGGGGUCCAUGCCGCCUUCCUUCCUUUGGCUUGGUUCGUUGCCGCAUACCAACUUUCCCAUCCUACUAGAGCUUGUCCUUGCUUGAGCCUUCGUGCGUCCCAACAUGGUGCAAAGACAACCCAUGCCGCGCGCCUUUGCCGCCUAUGAAGCUUUAGGGGUGUAACAGGAGGCCAGUAAGUAAUCAAUUGCAUGUUGUUUUGUAUUUCUUUAAUUUCUAGCUUUUUUGUCAAUCUUAUUUGUUGAAAUAUUGCUGAAAGAUCAAGAUCAACCAUGCCUGUAAAGGUAGUUGAGCAUGAAUUUCUUUGUCGGUUAGUGACUGGUUAAACGUUAAUGUUUGAUGCAUUAUUUGGUAUAGAUCCAUAAACAUGCUUUUUAGUUAACUGAAUUAAUAGUUUGAGAUUGUAAUGUUUAGUAUAACACUCAAACAAAUUUAUCUUUUAUUAUGUAAAACAAGCUCCCAACUAAUUUAUUCCCCUAUAACUCGCAUACAGUGUCAUAAAGAAAGAAGAAGAUCGAUCACCAUCUUCAUUAUUCUCACUCAGAUCCUUCCAGAAUUAUUGAAUACAAAAUACUAAUCAAUCUGGGGUAUGUGUAUGUGUAAGUGUGUGUGUAAUUCUAUAUCAAGGCCAAAAAGGCUUUUGUUAAGUGUGAAUGUGCAUGGAUCGAUGAUCAGUUGUUCCAGUGCGGAAGUGGCACAGCGAAGAGCUUCAUGAGCCCGUCCUUGCAGUUGUAACCAUUUUUGUCACCGCUGGCAAAGUAGUAAGGCCUCCACUGGUUAAGCUCAACUUUGAAGCCCUUGCCGGCACCCUGGUUUGGACCGGCCAAUAUCUUGGCCUUGCUGAAGUCGCAGCUUAUGUAGCUCCACAGGUUGGGAAGCAGGUACACGCUGUAGCCGCUGUUCUUCUCGCUUGGCGGAUCAUACUUGAACACUGCAGCAUUAUAACAAACACAGAGAAGUGAGCGUUAUUAAAUGAAAUGCAUUAACACAUAAUAGAAUUUUUCGACAUGCAUAAUGCAUGAUGCAUGUAAUGUGUGCAUUCGAGUGGGACUUACAGAGUUCGUCGUUUAUGUAAAAAGGGCUGUUUUGGAGGACCCAUUCUGUGUAGUUAAAGCCGAAACGCCAGCCUUCACUCCCUCCGACGACAAUGGUUUUGGCCUCGCUAACUGCGAACAGAGAAGCAGCAGCUAGGAGGAGAAUGAAGCCUUGUGUAGUGUAACUGAUGGAAGCCAUUUGCGUAUCUUAAACUAGUAGUUGUUGUUCUUCAACUUCAACAAUGUUCCAAGUAAAAUGUAUAAACUGGAAGAUGAGAAGGUGAUGAGAAAACAGAAGCGCUUAUAGGGUUUAUAUAGGAAAAAGAAUUUGACUAUUGCCUCUGUCAAUUGAAUUGGUUGGUGAUGAAAUGCGACGGUUUAAUUUUGAAUCAAGUAAUUCAACAUGUUCUUGUUUGCAGAUUCCAGAAGGUGAUUUUUUGCUCCGUUUUUUCUCAUUUGGUAAUUACUGAACUGCCAAAGUUCAGAUUAGUGACAUUACUUGGCUUCAAUCAGAAAAAAUGGAGGGCACAGAAGUAAAAUGCAUGGUUGACGAAUGGUUUUGGUCAUGGCUAUUUAGGUGAUCAUCCACUAAGAACAAGAACUUGUGCAGUGGCUAUAAUUACUGGCGCAUUAAGGGUUCAAAAGGUCAGAGUAAGGCAACGGGGUAUUGUUAAUUAGGGUGGAUGUUAACACGAGGAUUCAACGACGGUCAACCGACGUCAACCGACGCCAUUUUUAUGUCUCAAUUUGCAGGCUAGCUCGUAGUGCGCUUCAGAGAAUUUGGAGAAGGAAGAUCAUCACCAUUUGCUCUAUUGAUCGCUUUGAUUUUCUUUACAAAGGUUGAUACAUACAAGACCAUUCUACAUUUUUCAUAUUCUAAAACACCUCUCAUAUUUCUACAGAGGCUCAAUCCCACUAGAAACCAAGCAUAUAUACUAGAAACAUAUCAACACGUACAUGAACUCAACAUAACAGCUAACUAAAAGAUUUUAGACUUUAGUUUCUGUUCAAUUCUCACUAUAUCCAUUCGAUUCAUUUGUCUGAGCUAAUCUCGCCUAAUCCCUUAUUUAUUUAUUAAAAGAAAGGUAUGAGAAACACUAGGGCUUAGAUUUUCAUAUAUCCUAUGUGGUUUUCUUGUGGAACCUUUUUUGCCAUGCAUAUCAUGAGUAGGGCAAUCCAAACAGCGAUUCAGAAGAAACAAGGUAGGCCGAUAUCAAAAAUAUUAUACCCUAACAUUUUUUGCUGUCCAAAAUGUCAUGUUUUUGUUGGUGAUUUCAAACAAUCUUUUGGUUUGACCGCCAAACUCAAGAUAUGAUAAUUUCAGCUUGGCCAAAUACAAGCCUUACAUUUUAUAUAAAAGAAAAGAAAAAAAAAAAAAAAACUACAAGCCUUACAUGCAUUACUACAUUAUUGCCAUACCCUGAUCCCGAUGUGACAAAAUUUGAUUCCAUCAGCCUUUGGGCAAUGUCGCAAUUGGAAUCUAUCAUUAUUGACCAACUAUUGCAAAAAUGCAUAGUAAUAUGCUUCAUGGCUUCAGUAGCUCUGUAUACGGAAGCAGGUCAGGCAAGGUAAGGCCAGCUAGCUAGCUGGCAGCUGGUAAUUAUAAUUUAUAAGUAGCUGCCAUUGUGAUUAAUACUGUGAAUGCCAGAAUAUAAUGUGAUUGAAUUGGUGGGAAAAGGACUAGAAAUUCAAAAAAUUUACCAAACCCCACUUGCCAUUAUAAACUUAACCAAGGUCCAUUACCUUUAACAAGCUAGCAACAAGCAAAAACUUAUUACUUUUUUUCCUCUAGAGAGAGAGAGGCGGGGGGGGGGGGGGGGGACGAGAAGAAUGAAGACUCUUUUUCUCUCAUCUUGCGGCUGCUAAACCUAGUUUGCUCCCAUCCAAAUUUCUUGGGUUGUGCCACUUCCGCUCACGGCUCUCGUCUGACGAAUCUCUCGGGUUCGCGUAUCCUUUCACAAUACCCUUCAGGUGGUCGCACUUUCAUCCUCUCGUCUUCGCAUCGCAUCAUUGACGCUCAUGCCUUCAAAGGUGUUGGUGGUUGGCGAAUCUUCGCGUCGGCAGAUCCAAUUCAAAUCUGGGAUCUUGGGUUUGUGUCAAACUUGGAAAUUGCUUCAUCUCUUCCGGUGGUGAUCCAAUAUGUGGAUGCAGGGUUUCGAAAGAUGGUUUCAGACUCUCUUCGGUGACGUUAUUCCUCUUGGUGGAAAGAGAAGUUGGCCUCCUCGCCGGAUUCCUUGAAGCUACAUGGAAGAAUUGCUCUUGCUGUUGUCAACAGUGUGGGUGUGCGACGGUGCAGAUCGGUGUGGGGACAACGAAAUCCUGGUGUGAUGCGGAAACGGAGAACUUGGCGGAAGAACCAUGGUUGCUUUAACGGCGGCGGCUUAGUUUUUGCUUGGGGUCGACCUAGUGCAAGUUCGUCUCAAGUUCUUUUUGUGGAAUUGGGUUUGGGCUUCUAAAGUUCUGGAUUCAGAUUUGGGAUGAAAGUGGUUUCAUGAUAAAAGUUUGGGACCCAGGACUAUUUUUAGUUCGGUACCAAUUUUUUUUCUUGGGAUCAAUACCUGCUAAGAACUGUCGGGAUUAUUGAUCGAAUGUUGUUAGCGAGUAUUCUGAUGGAUGCUGCGAAAAAGUUUAUUGUCAGUAUUUUAUUAGUUUACUCACCCCCGAGUUUUACUCAAUAGGUGAGUUGUAUUACGUUUUGGCGGUGACUCUUUCUGACGGCCCUACAAGGGCGAGUCACUGUGUAAUAUGGCUUGUGCUUAUUGAAUAAAAUCGUCUGACCUCUUUUCAUUAAAAAAAAGAUCAACCAUGCAUCAUCAUGUGGCUAAAUUAUGGUCAUUCUAGGAGUUGCCUAACUAAUACUUUACAUUUUGUGUAUAGAUUCAUGAAGUAUGUAAAGGAAGAGUACGCGAGAAUUGGGGUCAUGCCUCGUUAUGGUGAUGCAGAGUUUGUCAGAUGGUUUGAGGUGCAGACCAAUUGCACAUUUCACAUUCUCAAUUGCUUUGAGGAUGAUGAUCAGGUAAUUAAAAUACAGAACUCACUCUUAUGCAAUUGGCAUGGUAUACUUUCUUGAUUAAUCAAAAGUAUUUUGUUAAUGAAAUACGAGAACAUGUUAUAGUGAGGGGAUGUAGGGCUCUCACAUCCAUUCUACCAGGUGCUGACGGCAGCCGAAACCCUUAUGAAUGGUUCUCCAAAGGGUUCCACUUCGCUGGUGAUCAUCAUGAUUCUGCAGAGAUUGGAUAUCUGUUUGAGCAUCUAUAUGAAUGGAGAUUGAACAUGUUAUCUGGAGACGUUUAGGAGAGGAAGUUAACCGGGUCUGAAUACUCCUUGGAUUUCCCUUUCAUCAAUGAAAAAUUUACUGGUUAAAACACAAGUAUGGAUAUACUCAGGUCAUUGAUUCCAGGGAAAGCUCUUUAUGUGGUUACAAAUUCUAAAAAUUGUUUGGCUUAGUUGUAAAACUAUCUAAUUGAUGAUUUACUUGAGAGUUGAGAUCUUCUUUGUAUAUUUAGGCAUGGGUAAAUAUGGAUCUCUUGCCAAAAUAUAUCUGGAGAAACCAAAUUCUGCAAAGUUUGUGGUAAGCAAUUUAUAUAUUAAUUAGAAAAUAACCAUCAUGCUAUAUCAUUACUAUAUCGAGUAUAAAACCAGUAACUUAAUUAUGAUGGAUUCAUAGGAAGGGGUGAGUACUUGUUGCCCAAGGUAGAAUACCAUAAAUUUGAGGACAACAACUAAAGCAGGUCAAGGCGGGUUAUGGCGGGUCAAGACAAAUCCAGGUGGGUCAUGGCGGCCCAAGACGGGCUAAGACAAGUCAAGGCGGCUCUUUGGUGGCCCUAGACUGGUUAAGGCGGCCCAAAGCGGGUCAAGGCCGCCAUUUGGUGGCCUUAGACGGGUCAAGGCGGCCCCUUGGAGGCCCUAGGCGGGUUUUAGGAGGGUCAUGGCGGCCCCUUGGUGGGCCUAGGCGAGCCUAGGAAGGCCUAGUAAGGUUAAGGCGGCCUUAAGAGGGUCAAGGGAGCUCUUUGGCGGCCUUAGACAGGUGAACGCGGCCCAAUUCUGUCCAAGGCGGGUCAAGGCGUGUCAUGGCGGCCCAAGGCGAGUCAAGACAUAUCAAGGCGGGUCAUGGCGGCCCAAGGGGGGUCAAGGCGGGUCAUGGCGUGCCAAAGAAGUUCAUGGUGGCCCAAGGCGGGUCAUGGAGUCCCAAAGAGGGUCAAAGCGGACCAAGGCGGGUCAUGGCGGUCCAAAGCGGGUCAAUACGGGUUUAGGCGGCCCAAGGCGUGUCAAGGCAGGCCAAGGCAAUUCAUGGCGGGUCAUGGCGGCCCAAGGCGGGUCAAGAUAGGUCAUGGCGGCCGAAGGCAGAUCAAGGCGGGUCUUGGCAUGCCAAAGAGGGUCAAGGCGGGUCCUGGCGUCCCAAAGAGGGUCAGCGCGGCCCAAGGCGAGUCAUAGCGGCCCAAGGCGGGUCUAGACGGGUGAAGGCGGCCCCUUAGGGGACCUAGACGGGUCAAAGCGUCCUCUUGGCUGCCCUAGACGGGUCUUGGAGAGUCAUAGCGACCCCUAGGCCAGUCAUGCCUUGGUGGGCCUAGGAGGGUUAUGGCCCAAGGCGGGUUAAGACAGGUCAAACCGGGUCAUGGCAGCCCAAAGUGGGUCAAGGCAGGUCAUGGCGUGCCAAAGAUGGUCAAGGCGGGUAAUGGCGGCCCAAAGCGGGUCAAGACUGGUCAAGGUAGCCGCUUAGCGGGUCAAGAAGGGUCAAGGCAGCUCCUUAGCGGGUGAAGGCUAGGCAACCCAUUGGUGGCCUUAGCCAGGUGAAGGCGGCCCCUUAUGGAACCUAGACGGGUCAAGACGGCCCCUUGGUGGCCCUAGACGGGUUAAGGCGGGUCAAGGCCGCCCCUUGGUGGUCCUAGACGGGUCAAGGCGGCCCUAGGAGGGUAUAGGAGGGUCAAGGCAGGUUGUGGUGACCCAAGGUGGGUCAAGACAGGUCAAGGCGGGUCAUGGCGGCCCAAGGCGGGUCAAGGUGGGUCAUGGAGGCCCAAGGCUGGUCAAGGCAAGUUAAGGCGGGCCUUUGGUGGCCCUCGACGGGUUAAGGCGGCCCAAAGAGGGUCAAGGCGGCCCCUUCACGACCCUAGGCGGGUCUAGGAGAGUCAUGGCGACCCCUAGGGCAGUAAGGUCAAGGCAGCUCCAGGAGGGUCAAGGGAGCCCCUUGGCGGCUUUAAACGAGUGAACGCUGCCCAAUUCAAUCUAAGGCAAAGCGGGUCAUAGCGGCCCAAGGCGGGUUAAGGCGAGUCAUGGCGUCCAAAGAGGGUCAAGGCGGCCGAAGACGGGUCAUGGUGUCCAAAGAGGGUUAAGGCAGGCCAAGGCGAGUCAUGGCGUCCCAAAGAGGGUCAAAGCGGCCCAAUGCAGGUUAAGACGGAUGAAGGUGGCACAUUGGCAGCCGCUUAGCUUCCCUAGGUUGGUCAAGGCGGCCCCUUAGUCGUCCUAGAGGGGUCAAGGCGGGUAAUGGCGGGUCAAGGCAGUCCAAAGAGGGUCAUGGCGGCCAGGUAGGGUCAAGACAGUUCAAGGCGGGUCGUGGUGGCCUAAGUAAGGUCAAGACAAGUCAAGGCCCAAAGCGGGCCAAUAGUGGUCAUGGCGGCCCAAGGUGGGUCAAGGCAGGUCAUGGCUUGCCAAAGAGGGUCAAGAUGGGUCAUGGAGUCCCAAAAAGGGUCAAAGCGGGUCAUGGCAGCCCAAGGCAGGUCAAUACUGGUGAAGGCGGCCCCUUGGCGGGUCAAGAAUGGUCAAGGCAGCCCCUUAAUGGGUGAAGGCGACCCGUUGGCGGCCUUAGCUAGGUGAAGGCGGCCCCUUAUGGGACCUAGACGGGUCAAGGUGGCCUCUUGCUGCCCCAGGCGGGUCAACGCGGCCCCUUAGUGGCCAUGGACGGGUCAAGACAAGUCAAGGAGGGUCAUAGCGGCCUAAGGCGGGUCAAGACAGGUCAACGUGGGUCAUGGUGACCCAAGGCGGGUCAAGACAAUCAAGGCGGCUCAUGGCGGCCCAAGACAGGUCAAGACGGGUCAAGACAAAUCAAGGCGAGCUUUUGGUGGCCCUCGACGGGUUAGGGCGGCCCAAAGCGGGUCAAGGCGGCCCCUUCGCGGCUCUAGGAGGGUCUAGGAAAGUCAUGGCGACCCCUAGGGUAGUAAGCUUAAGGCGGCCCUAGGAGGGUCAAGGGAGCCCCUUGGCGGCCUUAGACGGGUGAACGCGGCCCAAUUCAGUCCAACGCGGGUCAUGGCAGCCCAAAGCGGGUCAUAGCGGCCCAAGGCGAGUCAUGGCGUCCAAAGAGGGUCAAGGUCGCCGAAGGUUGGUCAAGGCGGGUCAUAGCUGCCCAAGGCAAGUCAUGGCGUCCAAAGAGGGUCAAGGUCGCCGAAGGCUGGUCAAGGCGGGUCAUGGCUCCCAAAGAGGCUCAAGGCAGGCCAAGACGGGUCAUGGCAGCCCAAGGCGGGUCAUGGCGUCCCAAGAGGGUCAAGGCGGCCCNNNNNNNNNNNNNNNNNNNNUGAGUCAAGACACAUUAAGGCGGGUCAUGCGGCCCAAAGCAGGUUAAGGCGGGUCAUGGUGUGCCAAAGAAGGUCAAGGUGGCCCAAGGCGGGUCAAGGCAGGCCAAGGCGGGUCAUGGCGGCCCAAGGCGGGUCACAGCGUCUCAAAGAGGGUCAAAGCGGCCCAAGGCGGAUCAUGGUGGGUCAAGACAAGUUAAGGCAAAUCAAGACAGGUCAAGGCGGAUCACGGUGGGUCAAGACAUGUUUAGGCUGGUCAUGGCUGCCCAAGGCGGGUCAUGGCGGCCCAAAGUGGCGGGUCAUGGCGUGCCAAAUUGGGCCAAGGCGGGUCAUGGCGACCCAAAGUAGGCCAAGAUAGGUCAUGGCGGCCAAGGUAGGUGAAGACAGGUCAAAGCGGGUCAUAGCGGCCCAAAGCAGGUCAAGGCGGGUCAUGGCUUGCCAAAGAGGGUCAGGGCGGUCAAGGCGAUGCAAGCGGUCAUGCGUCCAAGAGGGUCGAAGACGGCCCAAGGUGGGUCAUGAUGUUCCAAGGCGAGCCUAGGAAAGUUAGAGCAACCCCCUGGCGGCCCUAGACGGGGAUAAGAGGGUCAUAGCGACCCCUUGGUGGCCAUAAAUGGGUCAUGGCGGCCCAAGGCGGGUCUUAGCGGGUCAAGGCAGCCCAAGACGGGUGAAGACGAGUGAAGGCGGCCUAUUAGCUGCCGCUUAGCGGCCCAAGGCAGGUCAUGGCGUCCUAAAGAGGGUCAAGGCGGCCCAAGACGGGUCAAGACAAGUCAAGGCGACCCAAAGUGGGUCAUGGCGUCCCAAGGCGGGUCAAGACUAGUCGAGGCGAGUCAUGGCGGGUCAAGGCUGGUCAUGGCGGCCUAAGGUGGGUCAAGACAGGUCACGGCAGCCCAAGGAGGGUCAAGGCAUGCCAAAGAGGGUCAAGGCUAGUCAUGGCGGCCCAAGGCUUGUCAAGGCAGGUCAUGGAGUCCCAAAGAGGGUCAAAGCGAGUCAUGGCUGGUCAAUACGGGUGAAGGCAGCCCCUUGGCGGGUCAAGAAGGGUCAAGGCUGCCCCUUAGACGGUGAAGGCGACCCUUUGGCGACCUUAGCCGGGUGAAGUGGCCCCUUAUGGGACCUAGACGGGUCAAGGUGGCCUCUUGCUGCCUUAGGCGGGUCAAUGCGGCCCCUUGGUGGACCUGGAUGGGUUAAGGCGGCCGAAAACGGGUCAAGGCCGCCCCUUGGUGGCCUUAGACGGAUCAAGGCCGCCCCUUGGUGGCCGUAGGUGGGUCUAGCAGGGUGAAGGCAGCCCCUUGGCGGCCUUAGACGGGUGAACGCAGCCUAAUUUGGUCCAAAGCGGGUCAAGGCAGGUCAUGGCGGCCCAAGGCGGGUCAUGGCAGGUCGAGGCGUGCAAAGAGGAUCAAGGCGGGUCAAGGCAGGCCGAGGCGGGUCAUGGCUGGUCAUGGCGGCCCACGACAGGUCAUGGCGUCCCAAAGAGGGUCAAGGCAAAGAAAACUCGUGUGCUAUAGCAAAGGGUUUUUACUCGAAUUAGGUGAAACUUGAAAUGUGGGACAAUACCUCAUUUUCUUUUGAAACUAAGGUUCCUGGUGUCAAUAUGAGAAGAAUUGAAGACAGCAAAAUUUUGGAAAGUCUCUCAAUACCAAUUUCAACAGCUUUACAAAACACGACACACGUGAGUUUUUUAGGCCCGAUCGCGAGUAAUUUAUAAAAGACAUGGAUUUUUGAAGCUAAAAUGGAUCAAUAUAUGUAAGGAGGUGUCUAUAAGCAAAACCGAACAUAAAAAGCCGAAGGCCAAAAAAAAAGUGAAACUGGCCAGAAACUCGUGUCCUAUAAGGGUUUUGGCUCGAAUUGGGUGAAACUUGAAAUGAGGGGCAAUACCUUUUUCUUCUUUUGGAACUAAGGUUCACGGUGUCAAUAUGAGAAGAAUUGAAGAGAACAGAAGCUUGGAAAUUCACUCAAAAACCUCUUAAAAACAACAAUUGCAAACAAGUUUACAAAACACGGCACGUAUGAGUCGUUUAAGCACGAUCGGCAGUAAAUUGAUAAAUAACAAGGAUUUUUGGAGCUAGAAUGGUUCAAUAUAUGUUAGGAGGUGUCUGUAAGCACACCCGAAGGGAAAAAGCCAGAGGAAAAAAAAAAAAGUGAAACUGGCCAGAAACUCGUGUCCUAUAACAAGGGGUCUUGGCUCGAAUUGGGUGAAACUUGAAAUGAGAGGCAAUACCUCAUUUUCUUUUGAAAUUAAGGUUCCCAGAGUAAUUAUGAGAAGAAUUGAAGAGAACACAAGCUUGGAAAGUCUCUCAAUACCAAUUAAAACAACAAUUUCAACAGCUUUACAAACCUCGACACGUGUGAGUUAUUUAGGCCCGAUCACGAGUAAAUUGAUAAAAGACACGGAUUUUUGAAACUAGAAUGGUACACUAUAUGUUAGGAGGUGUCUGUAAGCAACACCCGAACUGAAAAAGUCGGAGGCCAAAAAAAAAGUGAAACUGGCUAGAAACUUGUGUGCUAUAGCAAGGGGUUUUGACUCGAAUUGGGUGAAACUUGAAAUGAGGGACAAUACCACUUUUUGUUUCGAAACUAAGGUUCCCGGUUUGAAUAUGAAAAGAAUUGAAGAGAACAGAAUCUUGGAAAGUCACUCAAUGCCAAUUAAAACAAUAAUUUCAACAGCUUUACAAAACCAGACACGCGUAAGUUAUUUAGGCCCAAUCGCGAGUAAAUUGAUAAAUAACAAGGAUUUUUGAAGCUAGAAUGGUUUAAUAUAUGUUAGGAGGUUUCUGUAAGCACACCCAAACGGAAAAAGCCGGAGGCCAAAAAAAAAUGAAACUGGCCAGAAACUCAUGUGCUACAGCAAGGAGUUUUGGCUCGAAUUGGGUGAAACUUGAAAUAAGGGACAAUACCUCUUUUUCUUUUAAUACUAAGGUUCCCGGUGUCAAUUUGAGAAAAAUUGAAGAAAACAAAAUCUUGGAAAGUCACUCAAUGUCAAUUAAAACAACAAUUUUAACAGCUUUACAAAACACGACACGAGUGAGUUAUUUAGACCCGAUCGCGAGUAAAUUGAUAAAAAAAACAUGGAUUUUUGAAGCUAGAAUGGUUUAGUAUAUGUUAGUAUGUGUCUGUAAGCAAUCCCGAACGGAAAAAGCCGGAGGUACAAAAAAAAGUGAAACUGACCAGAAACUUGUGUGCCAAUUAAAAAAAGGUUUUUGCUCGAAUUGGGUGAAACUUGAAAUGAGGGACAAUACCUUCUUUUUCUUUUAAUACUAAGGUUCCCGGUGUCAAUUUGAGAAAAAUUGUAGAGAACAGAAUCUUGGAAAGUCACUCAAUGCCAAUCAAAACAACAAUUUCAACAGCUUUACAAACCACGACACGCGUGAGUUAUUUAGACCCAAUCGCUAGUAAAUUGAUAAAAGACAUGGAUUUUUGAAGCUAGAAUGGUUUAAUAUAUGUUAACAGGUGUCUGUAAGCAAACCCAAACGGGAAAAGCCCAAGGCCAAAACAAAGUGAAACUGGCCAGAAACUUGUGUGCUAUAAAAAAGGGUUUUGGCUCGAAUUGGGUGAAACUUGAAAUGAGGGACAACACCACUUUUUCUUUUGAAACUAAGGUUCCCGGUGUGAAUAUGAGAAGAAUUGAAGAGAACAGAAUCUUGGAAAGUCACUCAAUGCCAAUUAAAAACAACAAUUUCAACAGCUUUACAAAACACGAGACGUGUGAGUUAUUUAGGUCCUCCUAUGGAUGGGUUACAGGUAAAUCAUGGAUUAAAUUGUAAUAAAGCUCAUUCAAUCUGAUUGCCACAAGUUUGGUAACUGUAGUGACGUCUCCCUUGAAAGCGCCAUCUUUGAGAUUGAAAUUGUAGUAACGUCAUUCCCGCAAUAAAACUCAUUCAACCUGAUAGCAACCAUUUUGGUAACUGUGGUGACGUCCCCCUUGAAUGUGCCAUCUUUGACCGUAAUUUAGCUUGUAAAUAUCAAUCAGUCGACCUCGUAUGGGUUUGACAAGAUAUAACAUUUAUUCUCCUUACUUGGCCACAACUAAAUAAGGUGUAUGCGGCUCAACAGCCAUGUUCGCGGCUCAACAUAGGGCGUCCGCGGCUCAACAUAAGGUGUCCUCGGCUCAAUACCCAUGUUCGCGGCUCAACAUAGAGUGUCCACGACUCAACAUAGGGUGUCCGCAGCUCAACAUAAGGUGUUUGCGACUCAAAAGCCGCGGCUCAAUAGCCAUGUUCAUGGCUCAACUUCGCGGCUCAAAACACCAAUAGCCGCGGUCAUCAUCUCUGUUAAUAAAUAAGCCGCCUUGUGCACUGCGGCUCAACAGGAUGAGUCACGAUAUUUACUCGUUAAUGGCCGCGGUCACUAAUGGACCCGUCCAUUUGGUCUGCCACGUAGGUCAUGCCAAAUAUUGGUUCAAACAGAACCCCCCCCCCCCCCCCCCCCCCCCCCACCAUGAGUUCAAAUAGAAAAAUUAUUUGGCACAUAACACACCCCUUAUUUUUCGCCGAGUUAAGUAGAACUCAUGAGUCAUAGUACUCAACACAAAUCUUGGCGGCCAGACGCUUAUUAAAUCAUGGCCGCGAAUUAAUUGUUAAAGCAGGGUUGCCAUUUAAACAAUAUUUGGCAAGAAGUACUCUCCCACAUGAAAGACAUCACCACCAUAGUCCUAGAUUAUGUUUCCUUUUGGGAGAAGAAGAACUUCUCAAAUUUGCUUAGGAUUUGUGUCCCACAUCAAACUCUUUUUCCUUAGCCAUUCUGAACAACCACUAUAAAUAAGAGACCGAGGCCAUGAAUUACUCAAAACAACAAUUCUUUUCAACGUUACAUAACCAUGGGGUUCUCAGCAGAAGACGAAGCUCUGAAGUUCUCCAAGAAAUACAACGAGGCCUUGACCUCAGUGCGUGGCAAAGUGAAAACAGGGGAAAUCCAAAUGUUGGACGAGCAAACUCUACCAACAACAAUAGGAUCAGCCACACCAACUCCACCAGCUUGCUCCCUAGGUCCUCACUUUCCUGAAGGCAUGCCCCAUAAGAUCUCGAAAGUUCUCUGCCAGGAAGAAUUGGACGACUCUUGUCACUUUACUGAGCAUGAGUGGUCAUCAUGGUCUUGCUCAAGGCCUGAUGGUUGGCCAACCCUUACAUAUGAAUGGCAAGCAUGGGUUCCAAGAAUGGAGCACUUUUAUGCCGAUCAUUGGAAAAGAAUCGGCAUUUAUGACGCCAUCAAACUCACCGAGCAAGACAUAGUAAACCGCUAUUAGCCGCGGCUCUAUGUUUUUGGUCCUCAGCUACGAACACAAUGAACCUGUCAUUGGGUCCUAUGAGUCCAACAGUCAUGGGCAUGUGUGUACUCAUUGGAUUGCAGCCAACCGGAGCCGAAAUCAACCCAAUUCACAUUUUCCUACUACCUUCAGAGAUAGUCUACUUCCUCCCAAACGCGCGAAAGACCAUGACAAAGAAGCAAAAACCGAAGCUAUUAAAGCAUCAAAAAGAUCGCGCAACUACAGCUCUUUGUAUAAGAAAAAUGCAGUUGUUGACUCUGAGCCUGCGAACCGAAGACCUGUAGGGAAGGAUGAACACACAGUGUUUUUAUAUUAUUGGCUAUGCAAGUAUGUUUUCUGCAGCAGAGCACGCCAAUGUCCUCCAGAUUACGCAAUAUUAGCUGACGCGCUGGCUUCUGGCAUUCGGCUAGCUCUUGGCCCAUUUGUCCUUGCCAACUUAUACAAAACUUUUCAUAACAUUGUGACUAACGACAUAGAUCUCAACGUCGGCGGACCAUUGUGGAUGUUCUAACUGUGGUUGCGAGCAUACUUCCCUCAUACGUCAACCCCGGAACUGGAAACUGGCCACGAUAUGUUUUAUGGGCAGCAACUUAUGGCCACAUCGUCCUCUUUCAUGCCCCUGGAGAAGUGUUUUACCAUGUUUUACACCUCUAAAAGUUUCAAAGACCUGCGCCCUUGUUAUACUCAGUGGAGAUUGGCAUUUCUUGCUACCAACAAAGAGUUAGAAAAGAACAUGUAUGAUGAGGAAUGGAGAACAUCUUGGGGCAGCUAUGUGAUUUCACGAGACUUGCAUCACGGGUUGACACUCAAUGCACACUCUAAGCCUGGAGUAGAAGUCUACCUUCCCAACUAUUUUGCACGUCAAUUCGGAUGCAUCCAAAGAUGUCCCGUCCUUUACAACAACUCAUUGAAUCUUUUAACCUCAUGGUGCCGAAAGGUGCACACAAAAGAUAUGUGUGACUCGGUUUCAAGACGGUACCAUGAUCGCCUCAAUCGUUUUAAGUUGGAAGUCUUCCAGUCGAAUUCCGCAACCACUCCUACUUUCGUCUCUUGGUAGGCAGACUUUUCUACGAAAUUUGUGGAUCCAGAAUAUAAAGAUAUGUUUACAGAGCGGAUCGUCCGAGGAGUUGGAGAUAUUCUUCUGAACCAAACUGGUCAUAAGAGAAAACGGGCUUCUGUUAGUCACGAUAACGAGCUAUCAACAUCCAAGCAACGAAGCUUUGUUCGUAUCGAAGAAAUCUUUGAUGAGAAUUCUCCUGUGAGCUCGAACAAUGAAAGCGGUCACUUUACGGAGUCAGCUGCAAAUGACGACUGUGCCAACAAGUAUGACGAGAAUUUAAACAGUGAGAGCGCAAAUGAAGGCGAUGUAGAUAGCACUUCGUCUCAUAGUUUGCCUUGUUAAUCUCCAAAUCGUAACCAUCAGGUAACCAUCUUAUCCCAAACACGUAUAUGUUUACUCACCGCGGCUUCACUGAGCCGCAAUACGUAUUGGAAUCACUGACCUGAUCAUUUGUCAUUCAAACUUUAGGGACCGUACGAGCUUGAAAACACCAGCCAAAUGCAAAGUACCCACACCAAAAUGACUGCCAUUCAACCUAAUACUUCCAGCCAAGUGAGUUGUCAUCUUACUUUCACCGUGGCUCACCAUGGGCCUUUAUCAUUCCCGAGUUAAUAUGUUUAUUCUUUUGAAUGUAGUCAAAUCUUCUUACAGACCUAUUGCCCACAGACACCAUGGCUUUCUUAGACGAACUUGCUGGGCAACUUGAAGUGCCACAAAAUAAUAAUUUGAGGGAGGAGAGUGCAACAAGACAUGACCCGCGGAAACAGAGGGCGGCUGAGUUCGUUGUUGUGCAUUGUCGUAAACCGCUUAUGAUCAUCGCUGAGCAAGGUCUUUAUGACCGUUUCAAACAAGAAUUGACCUUCUUGAUCUCACUUAACCAUUUCACUCUUGAGCACGCUCAACAGAUCGAGAGUCAUCUCAAGGUCACAGACGUGAGCGUUGAUGCCUUUUCACAAACAUUGGAAAAAUGGGACACCGGCUGCGCGCUAGAGCAAAAAUAUGGACUCAUUGUCAAGCGGCAAUCUUCACAUGCCGCGAAACUCACCCAAAUGCGACAUGAACUCAAGACUGAUGCCGAGAAGUUGGCCGAGCUGGAAAGUCAAAUGAAAACGAUUCUAGAGCGCAUGUCCACAACUUCACACGUCAUAAACCAAGAGUACGCGGCACACCAUGAAGAGCUCAAGUUAUUUUUUGUACAUGGUAGAGACACCAAAGCUUUUAUAGACAUCAAAGAAGAUCUUGACAAGGCAAUGAAGAAGUAUGAAGCUGAUUGGGCCAUGUGGGAAAAUAUCUUGCCAUGACGGGUUUUCUCGAGCAUGAUCAAAAUUUUAUAUGUAUGUGCUCAAACUUUUGUAUUUGCUCAAACUUCAAUGAAUCCUUCUUGUGUUUUUCAUGCAAGUUUAUUUCAAAAUAUUACUUCGCUAUUCGCCAUCAUGGACACUCAUAAACCGUGGCCUAUCAAUAGGCUCUGCCACCAAUGCGGGCACUCAUGAGCCGCGGCCUAUCACCAGGCUUUACCGCGGCUUCAUUGCGAUCAAAUAAUAAGGCCAAUAUUCUCGCCACGGCCAAGAAUGGUUAUCAAUGCGGCUAACUCAAGUGGUUUCUAACGAUGGCCUCUGUUCACAUGUGAGAAUAGAGGGUGUAUGGUUGCCCUCCCCAAGUGAGUUGACUAUUAGGUGCCAAGGCACGUAGUCAAGUUACUUAAUGUUCAGUGAGGGGUUGACAUCUCCCCUGCAGUUGGGUAGUAUUUUUUUAAGUGUUGACCAUUGAUAGGCAUGUAAUGCAACUCGCCGUCAAGGUCUCGAAGAUGAUACGCUCCAUUCCCGAUGAUGUGAUCUACCACGAAUGGUCCUUCCCAUCUAGGUGACCACUUUCCAUAUUUUGGAUCUUUUUCGGUCUCAGGGAGGACCGCUUUCCAGACCAAAUCAUCUUCGGCAAAGGUUUUGUUGAUUACACGUUUGUUGUAAGCUCUGGCCAUUGCGCGCUUUUGAGCUUCCAUUCUGUUGUAAGCAUCCAACAGAGCUUGGUCGAGCUCUUCUAAUUCCUGCAGCAUGGCUUGAGUGUAGUCACCGAUUGUUAGGUUGUGCUGCUCAGCUACACAUAAUGCUUUAACUUGGAUUUCUACUGGAAGCAUGGCGUCAUGGCCAUAUGUCAAAGCAAACGGUGUAGUCCUAGUUGCAGAUCGCUUCGAGGUACGUAAAGCCCAUAAUGUGUCAGAUAAGAUAUUAUGCCAGUCUCGAGGUUUAUCAGUGAUCAUUCUCUUUAACACAUUAAUCACCAGCUUGUUGGCGGCUUUGGCUUGACCGUUAGCUUUUGGGUAAUAAGGAGUGGAAUGAAUCAUUUGGAUACCCAACUCACGCAUAGCAUUUUGCGUCGCUUCGGAAAUGAAAACGGAGCCGCGAUCCGCAAUGACUUUUUCUGGGACGCCAAAUCGAUGCACAAUUUUUUGUCUGAUGAAAGUGAUCACGGUCUCACUAGUGAUUGAAGUAUAUGGCUCCACUUCUACCCAUUUUGUAAAGAAAUCUGUCAUAACUAAGAUCCAUACAUGUUGCUUAGAAGAUGCAGGGUGAAUCUUCCCAAUAAUGUCCAUGGCCCAACAACGGAACGGCCAUGGUUUAAUAAUAGGGUGUAGCAAUGCAGCUGGCACCUGAUGACGGGAGCCAUGAAUUUGACAUUGCUUGCAGACACGGGCGAAUUUGAUACAGUCUUUCAAUAUUGUAGGCCAGUAAUAAUCAUGUCUGCGAAUCAACCACCACAUCUUGAUUCCAGCUUGAUGAGCUCCACAGAUUCCCCCAUGAACCUCUCGCAUGAUUUUGAGGGCUUCCGGCCCUCCGACGCACAAGAGAAGCAAACCAUCGGCUGAUUUCCAGUAUAACUGGUCUUUGUAUAACACGAAGUUCGCUGCCAAAAAUUUGAUCUUUCGAUCAUGUUUUCCCUCAGGAUUAUUAUGAAACCGGAUGAUAGGAUAUCGCCAAUCAUAUGGCUCCACGCUAACAACGAAAAUUUCUAAAGGCACACCACGAUCUUGCAAGGCAGGCACGUUUCUACGUAAAAUUCUAACGGUCCGACUGGAUUAGGUCCUUUUUAAAGUUAUACCUAAAGCAAGUUGUGCCAUCUCGUUUGCGUCCGAGUUUUCUUUCCGCGGUAUAUGGACAAAAGAUACCCGAUCGAAAACCUCAGCCAAUUGGUCAACCAAAGCAUAGUAAGGUAACAGAGACCAACUCGUGCACUUGAAUUCCUUAAGCAGUUGAUUAAUAACUAGCUGUGAGUCUCCACGUAUAAGUACACGUCGCACCCCCGUUUCUUGUAGCAUCUCCAUCCCAAUGAUUAAGGCCUCAUACUCUGCUUGAUUAUUAGUACAGCGAAACUCAAGCUGAAACGCGAAUUGGAACGACUCACCCUCAGGAGACUCAAUCGUAAUUCCGGCUCCAGCUGAGGUCUCGAUGCUGGAACCAUCAAAAUGCAUAGUCCAAAAGUUGUUCUGCAUGGGUCGCGUCUCGAUCGUUCUGAUUUCGACAUCAUCCAUAGGCUCUAUCUCACUUGAUGGAUGGUGAGCUAAGAAAUCAGCCAAUGCUUGGCCCUUUACCGACUUUUGUGCAAUGUACUUGAAUGUGAACUCGGAUAGAGCCAUAGUCCAUUUGCCAAUACGGCCGCAAACGAUCGGCAGCGUAAGCAUGUAUUUAAUCAGGUUUGUCCUUGAGAUAAUCAAAACUACCGAAGGCAACAUAUAAUGUCGUAGUUUUAUGGCUGAAAAGUACAAUGUUAAACACAAUUUUUCAACGGCAGUAUACCUUUGCUCGACAUGGUGUGAGUACUCGACUUAAAUAGUAUACAGCGCGCUCCUUCCCUUGAUCAUUAUCUUGGGCUAGAAAACUUCCAAUUGAGCGAUCAGUUGCAGUCAGAUAUAAUUUGAGCGGCCGACCAUGGAUUGGAGGCACCAACACAGGAGGUUUGGCAAGGUAGGCUUUAAUGUUAUCAAAUGCACGCUAGUGUUCUUCAUUCCAUAUAAACCGUUCCUCACCUUUGAGACGUAGUAAGGGGGAAAAAUGUUGGAUCUUCCCUGCAAAGUUUGCUAUGAAUCGUCUUAAAAAAUUGACCUUACCCAAAAAAGAUUGCAAUUCCUUCUUAUUUGUUGGUGGAGGUGCGGCAAUGAUCGACCUAGCUUUACUCUUGUCCACCUCAAUUCCUAGUUUGUGCACAAGAAAACCCAGAAAGGUUCCAGCUGAAACCCCAAAUAUACAUUUAUGCGGGUUCAUUUUGAGUUUAUGAGUGCGCAUUCUGACAAAUGCCUGACUCAAGUCGGCAAUGUGAUUUUCUCUUUGAUUUGACUUAAUGACUACAUCAUCGAUGUAUACCUCCACUGUGCGGCCAAUGAGAUCAUGAAAGAUCAUGUUCAUGGCCCGUUGAUAUGUUGCUCCUGCAUUCUUAAGGCCAAACAGCAUAACCACCCAUUCAUACGUUCCAAGUGCACCAGGACAUCUAAAAGCCGUCUUAUGCACAUCUUCCGCGGCUAUGAAGAUUUUGUUGUACCCAGCAUGGCCGUCCAUGAAUGAUAGAAUUUCAUGACGUGCGGCUCCAUCUACAAGAAGGUAAGCUAAAGGCAUGGGAUACUCGUCUUUUGGAGUAGCAGCAUUCAGAUUUCGAAAAUCAAUGCAUACCCUCAACUUACCGUUCUUUUUAAUAACUGGAAUAACAUUAGAAAUCCAAUCUACAUACCUAGCAAUACGAAUUAGGGGUGGGCAUGGGAUGGGACGGGACGGGAUUAAGGUCAUCCCACGGCCCGUCCCGGACAUUGCACACGGGAUGGGAUCGGGACGGGCCUUAUGUUUUUAUGACUUAAUCCCACGCAAGUCCCGUCCCAGACGAGACCGAGACGGGACGGGCCCAAUCCCACCAUCCCGCCCCAAUAUUACUUGAUAAUGAUACCAAUAUAUUCCUACAAUAUAUAGACUGCAUCAUCUGAAUCCAUAAUUCAUAAGUCAUAACUACAAUUAAACUAGAGUAACUACAAUUACUCAAGUUCACACAUCGUCAUAAAGUUCAAAAGAAAACAAAAGAAAACAGGAAAGUAGUGAAUUUGAUAGCACAAGCUCUAAGCUGCUCCAAAUACAAACAAUUUCAACUCUAAUCAUCGAUGAGAAUACCGGUUGUAGCAGCAGCAAUUUUGACUAAUUACCAUCAUUUUUUACUAGAUAAUCACAUAUGCAGCAGCAACAACUAAUUACCAUCAAUUUUAACUAGAUAAUCACAUAUGCAGCAGCAACAACUAAUUACUAGGAGGAGGCGAGGAGGGUGAGGUGAGGAAGGCGCCAAGGCGAGGAAGUAGAGGUGAGGAAGGCGCCAAGGCGAAGAGGGAGCCGAGACGAGGUGAGGCGAGGAGGAGGCGGGCGAGGCGAGGUGAGGAGAGGAGGGAGCCGAGGCGAGGUGAGGCGAGGAGGAGGCGAGGAGGGAGCCAAGGCGAGGAGGAGGCGGGCGCCGAGGUGAGGAGGAGGCGGGCGGUAAGGCUAGCGGAGGAGGACUAGCCGAGGAGGUGGAGCCGUGGAGGACUAGCCGAGGCGGUUUGGCUCGAUUGAGGUUUGGACGUUUAGCUGGAGGGUUGAGGCGAUGAAACUGAAAGAGUGAGAGACAGAGAGUGAAAGACAAAGAGUGAGAUGAGUUAGAGUUAGUAUUAGGGUUAAAAAAUGUAAGGUUGAGAUCAAAACAUCUAAAAAAUCAAUGGGUUAGAUUAGUCUAUAUUUUUACACGGGACGGGACGGGCCUGACGGACCUCAAUUUUUCAGUCCCACGUCCCGUUCCGUUCUUUCUCUACGGGACGGGACGGGACGGGCCUAGUGUUUUUAGACAUAUAUCCCGUCUCAUCCCGUCAAAUUUCGGGACGGGACUGGGAUUUAGGUUUUUUAUGCCCACCCCUAAUACGAAUAAAACCAGCAUAAAGCAAUCAUUCUAUCUCAUUCUUUAUUUCUAGCUGCACCUUGGCAAAAAAUCGCCACAGCAGCUAUUUAUGAGGUUUACAAUUAGGAUAUAAAGGUAACUUAUGUUCUACUACGCUCCGGUCCAAGCUGGGCAUUUCAUGGUAAUCCCAAGCAAAACAAUCUUUAUAUUCCCUAAGUAAAGCUACCAACUCCUCCUUAAACUCACUAGGAAGCAGCUUGCUAAUGAAGAGUGGUUUUGGGUCUUCGAGCGUACCAAGAUUGAGUUCUUCUCUGCGAUCCUCCACUUAUGUUGGAGUGUCUUCUAACUCGGCCGGAGCAGGGCCGAGGUCUUCCAUUUGGAUCUCGUCCUCAUGUGUACUUUCAGACAAAAAUUCCACCAAAUUAAUGGGCGCACCAGUAUGGGCGGCCCUCUCAUGCCAAUAGGCCAGCAGGUUCAGCAUAGAGCUUUCAACUGCGGCCAUCCUUGCAUCCUCUUCUCUGGUGUCACUCAUUAAUAAUAGAGUCAAAAAGCUUAGCCAAGGCAGGACGCUCCGAGACUUCAAAGACAGUCUCGGCGCCAAGUGAAAUCAUCAUGCACAUGGUAACACCAGUAAUUCUCCUGGUGUUGUCUUCCCUCCGGAUUUCGGAUGGGCCCACUAGCUCAUCAUAAUACGCGGCCUCAACCACAUUAACCGUUGCUUUAAACGGCUUAUCAUUAGCUCGCACUACUUCAACCUCAUUCUCAUUCCAGAAUAACAACAUCUGAUGAAGGGUAGAUGGAAUGCACAUGUGCUUGUGGAUCCAGUCAUGCCCUAAGAUGGCACUAUAAGUUGUGUCAGCAUUAAUCACAUAGAAACCUGUAAUAAUGCUCUUACUUCCUACCUUAACUUCUAGCGGAAUCACCCCGAAAGUUUUCUUCUUACAUCCAGAGUAAUCAUACACUGCCAGGUCAGCAGGUAGAAUGUCUUUCUUCGUCUUCUUCAACUUUGACACCACAAACAUUGGGAUUACAUUCACCGUGGCACCACCAUCAACAAGAACCUUUGAAAUCGGAUAUCCCUCAAAACAAGCGGUGAUAUACAAAGGUUUGAUGUGUUUGACCAUCUCUGGAGUUGGUUUAGAAAAGUGAGUCAAGGAUUGUUCUUCCAUGACAAUUGUUGGUAAAACUACAUUUGCAACAUCCCCUUCCAUUUCUUGUGGUUGAUCUGGUUGUGCCAGGAAAUCAAUUGUUAAAACAAAAACCAUACGCAUUGUCAUGUCUUCUCUUUCAACCAGUACCGCCGUGGAUGACUCCACUUCUUCCUCACCUCCCAGAGUCUCUACCUCAUGGCUAAGUACAACAUGCUUGGUAGGACUAGUGAUGCUCGCAUAAGGAUCGAUAAAACUUUUAAGGUCAUUGUUGAAGCUCUCGUAGUGACCAAUCAUCAAGUCUUCCGCAUGUCUUGCUUCACCGGGCUCAACUUCUUGUUCUUCCACCUCAAUCAUUUGUUGCUCAUCAUCAAUACAAAACUGAUCUUGAACGAACACCUAACUGGCUUUGCCAUCGAUUCCCAACAAAUUGGUUUGUCGAACAGCCGCACUGUCAUCCACAUCCAUGCUAGCUAGCUCUUCCUCUGACUCAAAAUCAAAAUCACUUUUCUUUACCUCGGCUGCAUACUCCAUCUCUCGAUGGUGAAUGCAUUCAUCCAUCUUCAACAACAGUCCUCGCUCCUGUGGUGUAACUCCAUAAGUGCUAAUAACUGAAUACAUUCGGUGAUACCCCUUCAGAUACUUAAGGUCCGAUGAAGAUACCAGCAAAUCAGUCUUGCUUGAAAACAACUCCACACCAUCUAACCGUGCUUGAUACAAGAUCUUCAAACCGGUGCUCGACAUACUCUGUACCAUUAAAGGCUCAAGCUGCGGGUUAUCUGUCAAGGCUCUUAGCGUAUCCAGCUCCUCCCAUGUUGGCCCGUACAGAGCUAAGGCGGAAUAUGUCUUGUGGUACUCCUUCAUAGCAGCCCAACCUUCUGGUGCAAAGGGAGGGAGCUUGUUUCGUAACACCUCAACCACCUGUUUAAUGACCGUUAAUGGCCACGGUCACUAAUGGACCCGUCCAUUUGGUCUGCUGAUGUGCUCAUAUUAUCCUAUAUUUCUAAGCCCUUUAAUCUUGAUAUUUGCGUUUAGUUCUCUUCUUUAUGACUUAUUUAUGUUAAUUUAGUGCUUUUGUAGGUUUGUGUCGUAAAGAGAAGAAAAUGAUCUAAAACGAGCAAAUAAGGAUUGAAAGGCGACUACAAUCCCAAGUGCCAGAAUCUGCCUAUGCAGAACUGCCAACUUUUCCGAAUUACAGGGAAUUACUCGGAUUAAAUCAGACUAUGAGCCUUAUAUCAUUGGAAAGCUAUGGAAGUCUACUUUCUGUAGAAUUUUACGGAUCUCGAUUUCGAUACUUAUGGACUGAGUUAUGAUCAUUUGAAUGAAGAUAGGUCAGAUCAGAAAAUCUGCUCGGAAUUACAAGCUUUUGUGGAGAACUCAAGAUCUAUGGCACAAGAUCAUUAACCCUAAAGCUUCAAGGACAAUAACGCAUAUGAGGAUUCAAUGAGUACAUGUAUUCCUAGUUCUACAAGAGAUAUCUCAAGGUUUUCCCAUUCCAUAUCAAGAAAGGAGUCUGAAUCCAAGUCUUACAAGGAAAUAUGAAGCCAAAGAUGAGCAGGAAACUUUUCUAUAUAAGAGAGCACGAAUUUCACAUUGAGGGAGGUCUCGGAAGCACAUUGAAGACGCCUAAAGGAGCAGAGAUCUAUCCACCCUUCACCUUUUCGUUCUUUUUAUGUUUUCGUUAUGUUUUAUUUAGUCAUGUUUAGUUAAACCUUUUAUAGGGUUAGGAUGAUUCACUAGCAUGAUUGUUUAUGUUUUUUAUGAUUAAUUAAUAGAUUUAUAGUUUCUUAAUGAUGAAUGCUUAAUCACUGGUUGAAUUUUAUGCUUGAUGUUUAAGUUCUUUGAUUGAUCACCUUAGGGCUUUGCAUUUAGUAAUUGAAAGAUAAAUUUGAAGCAGAGAUGCAAUAUAAUUUAUAUAGCUUCUUGUGGUUAAGUGUGGUGAAUUACAUUGUUGCUUGAGAAAGAAUAAAUGGUUUGCUUGAUUCCCUUAUUUUCUAGUACGUAAUGAGUCCUGCAUGUUAAAUUUAUACCUGAGAAGGAUAAACUGCAUAGUUAGGAUAUACGACCUUUACCCGAGAGAGAGAGCAUCAUACACUUAAGGAAAAUUAUGGUCUAGAGUACCUGAGAAGGACUUAGAUACGGGAAUUGUCAUCUAGAGAAACGAAAGAGUCUGUUAGUUGCAUCAAAGCAUACAUAAGAUUGUUAGUGGUUGAUUCUGACGCCCUAGAUUCAUUUAUCAUUAUUUGUUUACUUAUUUUAUUGUUUCUUUGUUUCUUUAAAUUGUUAUCGUGAUUUGUGUGUUUUAGUAUAGUUAGUUUAGGUAUUUCAUAAUUUGAAUUGAACUAAUAUCCUCGUGGGAACGACAACCCCUUCUCUUCCAUUUCACUAUACUACAUCCACCCUGUAUACUUGCAGGAAAUCCACCAUCUACCACGUAGGUCGUGCCAAAUAUUGGUUCAAACAGGAUCUCAAUGUCAAUAUGAGAAGAAUUGAAGAGAACAGAAGCUUGGAAAUUCACUCAAUACCUCUUAAAACAAUAAUUGCAACAGCUUUACAAAACACGACACGUGUGAGUCAUUUAAGCAUGAUCGCGAGUAAAUUGAUAAAUAACAAGGAUUUUUGAAGCUAGAAUGGUUCAAUAUAUGUGAGGAGGUGUCUGUAACCACACCCGAACGGAAAAAGCCGGAGGCCAAAAAAAAUAUAUGAAUUGGUUCAAUAUAUGUCAUGGCGACCCAUUGGCAAGUCAUGGCGGCCCCUUGGUGGCUCUAGGCGAGCAAAGGAAGGCCUAGGAGGGUCAAGGCGGCCCCAGGCAGGUCUAGGAGGAUCAAUGCAGCCUCUUGGUGGGUUAAGACGGUAUCUCAGAGGCCUUAAAUGGGUGAACGCGUCCACUUGGAGGCCAUAGCCGGGUCAAGGUGGCCCUAGAUGGGUCAAGUCGGCCCAAGACGGGUCAUUGCGGGUCAUGACGGGUCAAGGCAGCCCAUUAGCGGCCUAAGACAGGUGAAGGCGGCCCCUUUGUGGCCGUAUGCGUGUCUAGGCGGGUUAAGACGGCCCCUUGGCGGGUUAAGGAAGGUCAAUGCAGCCCCUUGGCGGGUUAAGGUGGCAUCUCGGCAGCCUUAAAUGGGUGAACGCGUCCCCUUAGAGGCCAUAGCCGGGUCAAGGUGGCCCUUGGUGGCCCUAAAUGGGUCAAGUCGGCCCAAGGCGGGUCAUGGCGGCCCAAGGCAGGUCAAGGCAGCCCCUUGGUGGCCGUAUGCGGGUCAAGGCUGCCACUUAACGGCCCUAGGUAAGUCAAGGUGGUCCUAGAAGGGUCUAGAAGGGUCAAGGCAGCCCGUUGGCGGCCCUAGAAGGGCCUAAGAGGAUCAUGCGGGCCUACGAGGACCUAGGAGGGUCAAGGCAGGUCUAGGAGGGUCAAGGCAGCCCCUUAGCAGGUCAAAGCGACCUUAGACGGGUGAAUGCGGCCCCUUAGCAGCCUUACCCGGGUCAAGGCGGCCCAUUGGUGGCCCUAGAUGGGUCAAUGAGGCCCCUUGGUGGCCCUAGACGGGUCAUGGCGACCCCUUGACGAGUCAUGGCUGCCCCUUGGUGGCCCUAAGCGAACCUAGGAGGGCCUAGGAAAGUCAAGGCCCUAGGCGGGUCUAGGAGGGUCAAGGCAACCCCUUAACGGCCUUCGACGGGUGAACGCAGGCCAAGGCGGGUCAAGGAGGGCCAAUGCGGGACAAGGCAGGUCAAGGAGGCCCCUUAGUGGCCUAAGACGGGUGAAGGCGACCCCUUGGCGGUCGCUUAGCGGCCCUAGCUAGGCAUGUCAAGGCUGCCGCUUGGCGGCCCUAGGCGGGUCUAAGAGGUCAAGGUCAAGGCGUCCUAGGACGGGCCUAGGAGGGUCAUGGUGACCCCUAGUCUAGUCAUGACGGCCCCCUGGUGUCCCUAGGCGGGCCUAGAAGGGUCAAGGCGACCCUUGCCGAGUCAAGGAGACCCCUUGGCGGCCUUAGACUGGUUUGCGGCCUUAGACGGGUGAACGUAGCCCUUGGCGGCCCUAACAGGGUCAAGGCGGCCCCUUGGUAGCCCUAGAUGGGUCAAGGCGGGUCAAAGCAGCCCAAGGCGAGUCAAAGAGGGUCAAGGCGUCCCAAAGAGGGUCAAGGCGGGUCAAGGCGAGUCCAGGCGGGUCAUAACGGCCAAGGCAGGUCAUGGUGUCCCAAGGCGGGUCAUAGCGGGUCAUGACGUCCUAAGGCGGGUCAAGACAGGUCAAGGCAGGUCAUGGCGGCCCAAGGAGGGUCAAGACAGGUCAAGGCUAGUCAUGGCGGCCCAAAGCGGGUCAAGACAGGUCAAGGCGGGUCAUGGCGGCCCACGGAGGGUCAAGACAGGUCAAGGCUGGUCAUGGCGGCCCAAAACAAGUCAUCGCAGCCCAAGGCAGGUCAAGGCGGGUCAUGGCGGCCCAAGGUGGGUCAAGGCGGGUCAAAGCGGCCUCUUGGCUGUCCUAGGCGGGUCUAAGAGGCCUCUUGGUUGUCCUAGGCAGGUCUAAGAGGCCUCUUGGCUGCCCUGGGCGGGUUAAGGCAGCCUCUAGGCUGCCCUAGAUAGGUCAAGGAGGCCCUUGGUGGCUUUAAACGGGUUAAGGCGGGUCAAGACAGGCCAAGGCGAUUCAUGACGGGUCAUAGCGGCCCAAGGCGGGUCAUGGCGUCCCAAAGAGGGUCAAGGCGGCCCAAUGCGGGUUAAGACGGGUAAAGGCUGCCCUAGGCGGGUCAUGGUGGCCCCUUGGCUGCCCUAGGAAGGUCAAGGAGGCCCAAGGUGGGCCUAGGCGGGUCAAAGCAGCCCAAGACGGGCCUAGGAGUGUCAUGGCGACCCCUAGUCCAGUCAUGACGGCUCAUUAAUGUCCCUAGGCGGGCCUAGGACGACCUAGGAGGGUCAAGACGAGUCUAGGAGGGUCAAGGCAGGCCCUUGGCGGCCUUAGACUGGUGAAUGUGGCCCCUUGGCAGCUGUAGCAAGGUCAAGGCGGCCCCUUGGUGAUCCUAGAUGGGUCAUGGCGGCUAAAGGCGGGUCAAGGCGGCCCAAAGUGGGUCAAGGCGGACCAAAGCGGGUCAUGGCGGGUCAAGACAGGUUAAGGCGGGUCAUGGCGUGUCAUGGCGGCCCAAGACGGGUCAUGGCGUCCCAAAGAGGGUCAAGGCGGGUUAAGACGGGUGAAGGCGGGUUAAGACGGGUGAAUGCAGGUUAAGACGGGUGAAGGCGUCCCUAGGCAGGUCAGGGCGGCCCUAGGCAGGUCAAGGCGGCCCCAUGGCGGCCCUAGGAGGGUCAUUGUGUCCACUUGGCUGCCCAAGGCGGGUCUAGGAGGGCCUAGGAAGGUCUAGGCGGGCCUAGGAAGGUCAAAGCGGCCCUAAACGGGCCUAAGAGGGUCAUGGUGACCCCUAGUUCAGUCAUGGCGGCUCCUUGGUGUCCCUAGGCGGGCCUAGGACGGCUUAGGAAGGUCUAGGAGAGUCAAGGCAGCGUCUUGGCGGCCUUAGACGGGUGAACGCAGCCCCUUGGCGGCCGUAGCAUGGUCAAGGCGGCGCCUUGGUGCUCCUAGAUGAGUCAAGGCAGCCCAAGGCGGGCCAUGGCGUCCCAAAGAGGAUCAAAGCGGGUCAAGGCGGCCCAAAGCCGGUCAUGGCUGCCCAAGGCGAGUCAAGGCAGGUCAAGGCGGCCCUAGGCGGGUCUAGGAGAGUCAGGGCAGCAUCUUGGCGGCCUUUGACGGGUGAACGCAGCCCCUUGGCGGCCGUAGCAUGGUCAAGGCGGCCCUUGGUGGUCCUAGAUGAGUCAAGGCAACCCAAGGCGGGUCAUGGAGUCCCAAAGAGGAUCAAGGCGGCCCAAGGCCGGUCAUGGCUGCCCAAGGCGAGUCAAGACAGGUCAAGGUAGGUCAUGGCAGCCCAAGGUAGGUCAUGGCAGCCCAAGGUGGGUCAUGGCGGCCCAAGGUGGGUCAUGGCAUCCCAAGGCAGGUCAUGGCGGCCCAAGGCGGGUCAAGAGAGGUCAAGGCGGGUCAUGGUGGCCCAAAACGGGUCAUGGCAUGCCAAAGAGGGUCAAAGCGGCCCAAGGCAGGCCAAAGCGGGUCAUGGCAACCCAAAGCGGGUCAUGGCAGCCCAAGGCGGGUCAUGGCGUCCCAAAGAGGGUCAACACGGCCCAAUGCGGGUUAACAUGGGUGAAGGCGGCCCCUUAGCGACCUUAGGCUGGUCAUGGUGGCCCCUUGGCUGCCCUAGGUGGGUCUAAAAGGGCCUACGAAGGUCAAGGCGGCCAAAGGUGUAUACAAGUUUGGCAUGAUUUCUUUUAAAUUCCCUUGCUAUGGCACAGAUUUUUCCGUCAAAAUUCAAUGCUCUUAUUUGUUAUCCAAACCUUUUCUAGUAUGAAAUCAUGACAAAUAAAUACUUUUUGAACUGACGGAACUCGAAAAUCUCAAUCAGAUUAAUUUAUACGAGUUUCACUUUAACCCGAAUCUAAGGGCGUCGUCUUCUAAACAUCACCAAAAGAUGGCUACUUAGAUCUUUGUGCCCUUGGCGGGUCUCGACUACCCCAUGGCGGGUCUUAGGGGCCACUAAGUGAUAAGACGUAUUUGCACACGCAUCAAUUAACCCUGUCAACAAAUCAAUCGUAGUAUAAAGCAAGCAGGGAUCGUUCUAAACCGGAGAUCCAACUACAUGGUAGAUCCAUCUAAUCUAAUAAAAAUGUCGAAAUAAGCAUAUAGGGUUUAAAGGUUUUGAUGAUUUUGGAAUAAACAUUGAAAAUAAAUCCUAAAUUACUUCUAUACAUAUUUACAUGUGAUCAACUAACAAUCAUGCAAACUUAACCAAACAACCAUGUAAGAACAAAGAAGACGAUCUCUAAUCUCAUUUAAGUCUACACCGUGAGCAAUUAUACAACCUAAAUUUGAUAUGCACAUAAGUUCCUACGUGGUUCGUAUGACAUAGACCUACUUAGAAUUAGACUACGGGUUUCAUUCAACAUCGUGACACAAACAAGCUCGGCUACGUGCUCUACUUAUAG